AGCGAACGCUGGCGGCAGGCUUAACACAUGCAAGUCGAACGGGCAUCUUCGGAUUUCAGUGGCAGACGGGUGCGUAACGCGUGGGAACGUACCCUUCGGUUCGGAAUAACUCAGGGAAACUUGAGCUAAUACCGGAUACGCCCUCUUGGGGAAAGGUUUAGUGCCGGAGGGUCGGCCCGCGUCUGAUUUGCGUGUUGGUGGGGUAUCGGCCUACCAAGGCGGGGGUCAGUAGCUGGUCUGAGAGGAUGAUCAGCCACACGGGAACGGAGACACGGUCCAGACUCGGACGGGAGGCAGCAGUGGGGAAUAUUGGAGAAGGGGCGAGAGGGUGAUUCAGCCAUGCGGCGUGAGUGAAGAAGGGCUUCGGCUGGGAAAGCACUGUAAGUUGGGGGGAAGGACAGUUAUUUUAUACCUUGCUGUAUUGACGUUACCAAAAGAAUAGGCCCCGGCUAACUUCGUG
rnacentral:rRNA from 1 species